ACCCAGAUUAUUAAAAUUAUGAAUGAAAAAGGAGAGGUCACGACGAACACCAUUGAAAUUGGAAGG
rnacentral:tRNA from 1 species